UGGGGUUGAGGCACGCCCUCGCCGGUGCCGUACGGUGACGAAAGGAGGGACGUCCGCACUUUAAGAGCCGUGCAAACGUCCGCACCUGAUACUCCUUGUAUAUAUAUAUAUAUAGUCGGGAUCACCGACGGAUGUCCGCAAACCCGUAAAAGUGCGGACGUCCCUGCUUUUGCAGUGAUCAAGCGCCGACGACGUCCCUUCUCUUGCCGGACGGACACCAGAGGCAUCCCGGACCUGUUUAACAUGAAGAGAAGGCCAUGGAGAUCGGAGUUGAAUGUCUGGGCAGCAACCUCCACCCAAAACUUUAGACAACAUCAAUCUCGGCUGCAAACUGGUAUUCGGCGAGUCCGCCGGCAAGAGGAAGCUAACGAUCGAGGUCUGGUGUUCGUCAGGGAAGAGAAGGGCUGCCGUCGGCGCUUGAUCGCUGCAAAAGCAGGACGUCCGCACUUUUACGGGUUUGCGGACGUCCUCUUCUGAUCAUGUCCGUAUAUAUAUAUAUACAUAUAUAUAUACAGGAAUUCUCAGGUGCCGACGUCCGCACCAAACUUUUGGUGCGGAUUUCCAUUUUUGGACCACUUCCCGAUCGAAUUUCCUUAAACUUCCUUCUAGACAUAUCUAGAUCAUCUUGUGUAGAUCAUCUCUGUAAAAUUUCAGCCAAUUUGGUGAUCGUUAAGGCCCUCAAACUUGCGUUACAAAACCGACGGACAGAAUUCUGUCCGGUUCAAACAUAUAACAGAAAAACGCAAGUUUGAGGGUCUUAACGAUCACCAAAUUGGCUGAAAUUUUGCAGAGAUAAUCUAGAUAUGUCUAGAAGGAAGUUUGAGGAAAUUCGAUCAGGAAGUGGUGCAAAAAAUAGAAAUCCGCACCAA
rnacentral:lncRNA from 1 species